rnacentral:rRNA from 1 species
ACGGCGAGUGAAGCGGCAAAAGCUCAAAUUUGAAAUCUGGUACCUUCGGUGCCCGAGUUGUAAUUUGGAGAGGGCAACUUUGGGGCCGUUCCUUGUCUAUGUUCCUUGGAACAGGACGUCAUAGAGGGUGAGAAUCCCGUGUGGCGAGGAGUGCGGUUCUUUGUAAAGUGCCUUCGAAGAGUCGAGUUGUUUGGGAAUGCAGCUCUAAGUGGGUGGUAAAUUCCAUCUAAAGCUAAAUAUUGGCGAGAGACCGAUAGCGAACAAGUACAGUGAUGGAAAGAUGAAAAGAACUUUGAAAAGAGAGUGAAAAAGUACGUGAAAUUGUUGAAAGGGAAGGGCAUUUGAUCAGACAUGGUGUUUUGUGCCCUCUGCUCCUUGUGGGUAGGGGAAUCUCGCAUUUCACUGGGCCAGCAUCAGUUUUGGUGGCAGGAUAAAUCCAUAGGAAUGUAGCUUGCCUCGGUAAGUAUUAUAGCCUGUGGGAAUACUGCCAGCUGGGACUGAGGACUGCGACGUAAGUCAAGGAUGCUGGCAUAAUGGUUAUAUGCCGCCCG